rnacentral:rRNA from 1 species
GACGAACGCUGGCGGCGUGCUUAACACAUGCAAGUCGAACGGUGAAGCGCCUUCCUUUUUGGUGGGUGUGGAUGAGUGGCGAACGGGUGAGUAACACGUGAGUAACCUGCCCCCUUCUUCUGGAUAACCGCAUGAAAGGGUGGCUAAUACGGGAUAUUCUGGGUCUGUCGCAUGAUGGGUCUGGGAAAGAUAUUGUUUCGGUGGGGGAUGGGCUCGCGGCCUAUCAGCUUGUUGGUGGGGUGAUGGCCUACCAAGGCGGUGACGGGUAGCCGGCCUGGGAGGGUGGACGGUCACACUGGGAAUGAGACGCGGACCAGACUCCUACGGGAGGCAGCAGUGGGGAAUAUUGCACAAUGGGCGGAAGCCUGAUGCAGCGACGCCGCGUGAGAGAUGGAGGCCUGCGGGUUGUGAACCUCUUUCGCCAGUGAAGCAGGCCUGCCUCGUUUGUGGGUGGGUUGACGGUAGCUGGAUAAGAAGCGCCGGCUAACUACGUG